CUUCCUCCUCUGGUAAUCCCAGCCCAUGUUUGGAGAGGAUGAGAAAAGUAGAAGAAAUGAUCAGAGAGAUUGAACAAAGGUGUUCGGAUAUUAUGCGUAAUAAUCAAGAUGACAAAACUCCUCACCAGUCUCAGGCAAUGGAAGAAGAGGAUGGAGAAAGAGAGGAAUGUGUAGGGGUAGAGAGAGCUGAGAAUGGGGACAUCAAGUUUGAGUUGAAUUGUUCGUGUGGUAAGCGUUU